CAUUAACCCUUCAGAGUAGUCAAAUGUAUCAGAAGGAGGUGAAUGGAGCAGAUUGAGAGGGAGAAUGUGAAGAAACAGCAGGUGGCGCUAGUGCACUGUUUUAGUUUGGGAUCUGCUGUUAGAAGGAAGAAGAAGGAGAAAGCAGAUGAAGUCGUGUCAGGUGACAAACAUCAAUCGUGAAGAUCGCACAGGUGUUUAACAGCGAUCACAAACCGGAAGUGUUUGAAAGACUUCUGGAUUCUGUUCCUGCAGCACAAGAUCGUCUGAACUACUGCAAGUCAUGAUGAGCAUCUGAUCGUCUUCAGAGACACAAAAAUCUCAGUGUUGAGCUGUUCAUCUGCAGUAUGUCAGAGAAGAGAGGAAAGAUGAGUCUUUCACACAAACAGAGUGUAAGAUCAGACUCACAUGUGUCCACCUCUGUGUCUGUGAAGAGUGACCGUUCAAAGGAUAAACCACCGAAAUUCAGUGAAGAAACAACAUCACGAACCAAACGGCUUCAGUAUGAAACAUUAGAUCCAGAUUUACAGUCUCACAGGAACCGCAAUCAUUUUACAGAGAGUCUCCUGCAGAUCUUCCAGCACCUUGAGGGCAAAAUAAUAACAUUUCUGAAG